rnacentral:misc_RNA from 1 species
GAUGAAGAACGUAGUGAAAUGCGAUACUUGGUGUGAAUUGCAGAAUCCCGUGAACCAUCGAGUCUUUGAACGCAAGUUGCGCCCGAAGCCAUCAGGUUGAGGGCACGUCUGCCUGGGCGUCACAUAUCGUUGCCCAAUGCCUAUUGCAGUGCAAUAGGAAUUUCUAGGGCGAAUGAUGGCUUCCCGUGAGCGUUGUUGCCUCGCGGUUGGUUGAAAAUCGAGUCCUUGGUAGGGUGUGCCAUGGUAGAUGGUGGUCGAGUUAGAACGAUACCGAUCAUGUGCAUGCUCCCCAAAAUAUGGCCUCUAUGACCCACACGCGUCUUUUGACGCUCAUGACGAGACCUCAGGUCAGGCGGGGCUACCCGCUGAGUUUAAGCAUACAAUAAGCGGAGGA